ACGAACGCUGGCGGCGUGCUUAACACAUGCAAGUCGAACGGAAAGGCCCUGCUUUUGUGGGGUGCUCGAGUGGCGAACGGGUGAGUAACACGUGAGUAACCUGCCCUUGACUUUGGGAUAACUUCAGGAAACUGGGGCUAAUACCGGAUAGGAGCUCCUGCUGCAUGGUGGGGGUUGGAAAGUUUCGGCGGUUGGGGAUGGACUCGCGGCUUAUCAGCUUGUUGGUGGGGUAGUGGCUUACCAAGGCUUUGACGGGUAGCCGGCCUGAGAGGGUGACCGGCCACAUUGGGACUGAGAUACGGCCCAGACUCCUACGGGAGGCAGCAGUGGGGAAUAUUGCACAAUGGGCGGAAGCCUGAUGCAGCAACGCCGCGUGCGGGAUGACGGCCUGCGGGUUGUAAACCGCUUUCGCCUGUGACGAAGCGUGAGUGACGGUAAUGGGUAAAGAAGCACCGGCUAACUACGUG
rnacentral:rRNA from 1 species